GUCUACGGCCACGCCACCCUGAACAAGCCUGUUGUCUGAUCUCGGAAGCUAAGCAGGGUCGGGCCUGGUUAGUACUUGGAUGGGAGAUCACCUAGGAAGACCAGGUGCUGUAGGCA
rnacentral:rRNA from 1 species